CAUGCAAGUCGAGCGGUAACAGGAGAAAGCUUGCUUUCUUGCUGACGAGCGGCGGACGGGUGAGUAAUGUAUGGGGAUCUGCCCGAUAGAGGGGGAUAACUACUGGAAACGGUGGCUAAUACCGCAUAAUGUCUACGGACCAAAGCAGGGGCUCUUCGGACCUUGCACUAUCGGAUGAACCCAUAUGGGAUUAGCUAGUAGGUGGGGUAAAGGCUCACCUAGGCGACGAUCUCUAGCUGGUCUGAGAGGAUGAUCAGCCACACUGGGACUGAGACACGGCCCAGACUCCUACGGGAGGCAGCAGUGGGGAAUAUUGCACAAUGGGCGCAAGCCUGAUGCAGCCAUGCCGCGUGUAUGAAGAAGGCCUUAGGGUUGUAAAGUACUUUCAGCGGGGAGGAAGGUGAUAAGGUUAAUACCCUUAUCAAUUGACGUUACCCGCAGAAGAAGCACCGGCUAACUCCGUGCCAGCAGCCGCGGUAAUACCGAGGGUGCAAGCGUUAAUCGGAAUUACUGGGCGUAAAGCGCACGCAGGCGGUCAAUUAAGUCAGAUGUGAAAGCCCCGAGCUUAACUUGGGAAUUGCAUCUGAAACUGGUUGGCUAGAGUCUUGUAGAGGGGGGUAGAAUUCCAUGUGUAGCGGUGAAAUGCGUAGAGAUGUGGAGGAAUACCGGUGGCGAAGGCGGCCCCCUGGACAAAGACUGACGCUCAGGUGCGAAAGCGUGGGGAGCAAACAGGAUUAGAUACCCUGGUAGUCCACGCUGUAAACGAUGUCGAUUUAGAGGUUGUGGUCUUGAACCGUGGCUUCUGGAGCUAACGCGUUAAAUCGACCGCCUGGGAGUACGGCCGCAAGGUUAAAACUCAAAUGAAUUGACGGGGCCCGCACAAGCGGUGGAGCAUGUGGUUAAAUUCGAUGCACCGCGAAGAACCUUACCUACUCUUGACAUCCAGCGAAUCCUUUAGAGAUAGAAGGAGUGCCUUCGGGAACGCUGAGACAGGUGCUGCAUGGCUGUCGUCAGCCUCGUGUUGUGAAAUGUUGGGUUAAGUCCCGCAACGAAGCGCAACCCUUAUCCUUUGUUGCCAGCACGUAAUGGUGGGAACUCAAAGGAGACUGCCGGUGAUAAACCGGAGGAAGGUGGGGAUGACGUCAAGUCAUCAUUGGCCCUUACAAGUAAGGCUACACACGUUGCUACAAUGGCAGAUACAAAGAGAAGCGACCUCGCGAGAGCAAGCGGAACUCAUAAAGUCUGUCGUAAUCCGGAUUGGAGUCUGCAACUCGACUCCAUGAAGUCGGAAUCGCUAGUAAUCGUAGAUCAGA
rnacentral:rRNA from 1 species